UACGUAGGGGGCGAGCGUUACCCGGAAUCACUGGGCGUAAAGGGAGCGUAGGUGGCCUGACAUGUCGACUGUGAAAACCCGGAGCUCAACUCCGGACUUGCAGUUGAAACUGCCAGGCUUGAGGACGGUAGAGGAAGACGGAACUGCCAGUGUAGGGGUAAAAUCCUUAGAUAUUGGCAGGAACGCCGGUGACGAAGGUGGUUUUCUGGGCCGGUUCUGACACUGAUGCUCGAAAGCCAGGGGAGCGAACGGGAUUAGAUACCCGCGUAGUCCCUGAGCGGGCUGG
rnacentral:rRNA from 1 species